UGUUUUCUAAUUCACUAAUCACUACUAUAUCCUUUAUAUAUAGUAAAUCAUAUUAGCCAACACAUGUUCAUGGGUUACAGAAAAAAAUAAUAAUGUCAAUUUAAAAAAUCUUUAGAAUUUUUAAAAAUUUAAAUUUUAUUUUUUAAGUUUCACAUUUUAAUUUUAGAUCCUAUUUUUGAAUUUUUAAUAUUUUAUUUUAUUUUUAAGUUUGAGAUUUUAAUAUUAAUUUUUGAAUUUUCAGAUUUUUUGAAUUUCUUACAAUUUUUUUCUAAUUUUUAUGUAUUUUAUUAUUUUUAUUAAUUUAUAAAAAACAACACAUCAUCAUUUUAACUUGUAAAAUAAACAGUACCGGUCGCCUAUAAACAAGAAAACUUUGUUAAAUGUUUGUUAUGAUAAAAAUUUCGUUUUGAAAGUCUAAAAUGCUAGCAAAAAAAAAUUCAGUGUUUUAAGUGUUAGAAAGUGACACUUUCAGUGUUUUAAAUGCGAUUUUCCCUUUUUCUUUCCAUCGUUUCUUUUUCAUAUAUUUUUCUUGUGUUUUGAAUGUAGCAAAAUUUCUAUAGCUAACAUCAGACAAGUUUAUGUAUGGCCCUUAUUCUGAUUCAUUUUCUUUCCUUAUUCAGAUUCAUUUUCUUUCCUUCACAGAUUAAUAUUCUCUAAUUGAUUUUAGGCUCUUAUUGAUUUUAGGAUCAACUACUUCAUCAAAAUUGUGGAUCAAGGUUUGGUUUCUCUUGAGACAAGGUUUGAUCAACUUCAAGGUUAUGAAAAAAACCUUUGGAUUCUUAUUCGACUUCAAAAAACUGAAGCUAGCUGAAGAUGACAAGCUGAUGGUUUCUUGUGCUAACCUUGAAGUUUUUCUGAAUUAUGGUAAUUAUUCUUAUAUUGAUGGUGAUGAUUUGUUUUUGGAGCUGAAGCUUUUGAGAGGGGGUUUGCCUGAAGGUAUUACGAAGGCUGCUGGAAUAUUGGAGUUUUUGAAAAGGAGGGAAAGUUGUUAUCCAAACACAUGGACAGCAUAUCGUAAAUGAUGACAAUUCUUGUUUCCGUUGCCUCAGCAGAAAGAAGUUUUUCAAAGCUCAAACUCAUAAAAUCGUAUCUACAGUCGAGUACGUCACAAGAGAGGCUUAAUGGAUUGUCAAUUUUGUCAAUUGAAAGGGAUAUGGCUGAAAAGCUUGAUUAUACAAACUUGAUGAAUGAGUUUGCAGGAAGAAAUGCAAGAAGAAUCAUAUUUCAGCAGUAAUGUAAAGGUUUUCAUGUUUUUCAACGUUUUUGUUUAAGACUUUUUAUUUAGUUAUUUAAAAAGAAUCAGUAGAAAUUUUUUUAUGAACCAGUCUUUUUUUUAUUCGCUUCUAGCCACCAAAAAAUCAGGACCUGCUCAGAAUACAAGUUUGCGUGGUUCUGAACUUUGAGCGACUCUCAAGGGAGUAUAUAUAUAUAUAUAUAUUUCUAUUCACCUUGACGCCUCUCAAUCAACUUUUCAUAUGUUGCGGCUCCUUUAAUAGUGAUUCCUUAUUUUUUUUUUUUUGUACUUUCAUCUUUUGAUGCUAUGAGUUCUAACAGAGGAAAGAUGGUUCCAGGAUCAGAUGAUCAGUUUGUUAUCGUAUGGAACAAACAAACACUUCAUUUUGAAUCUGAACAGGGAAAGAAACUUUUUAGCACUGAGUCGUUUCUGAAGAGAUUGUUUCGAUCCAGCAAUCAGUCACCAGAGACGUUGUUUGGUUCAAUUCUUGGGCUCUUUGGCAUUCCUCGGUUAACUUGAAAGACGUCUAGGCUCUGAUGAGAACAUUACUAAUCUCCUCGACAAGGGGUCAAGAUGGGAUGUCAAUCUGCCUAAAUCCUCUAUGGAGCCUUGAGAUAGUCACAAUAAGUUGAAGAACCCGGUUCAGUUUGAUCUUUUGUUUGAUUGCAUAGGCUAAAUGAUAUCAAUU